rnacentral:misc_RNA from 1 species
ACGCUUUCUGGGUAGGAAAUCAGAAGAAGCGAAAGUGGAGUGCGAGUGAUUUAGUGAAGAGAUCAUGGUGUUCAUGUUCUAUAGUAUAGUACAGGCUCAACGCUACAAACAAAAGAAUGUGCUAAAUGAAAAUGGUGUCAAAAGGAGUAUCUUUUCUUUCUUGAAACUAAGUUUGUUUCCCGUGAAAUUAUCAGAAUGCAGAUAAUAUAUAUAGGUAUGAAAAACAGAAUUGUGAAGAUACUCUUUGGUAUACCGGCGUGUUGGUGAAGAUGAAUGGAAGCUCAGAAGUUGCAAUUCC